UUUGUAAUUGAUAGUGUGACGGAUCAGAAUGAGACAAAUCAAAAAACUUCUGUUUGAUUAGUUGCUCACAUCAUCUUAAUUGGGUAUAUUCGUCCGACGUAAUGCAUGAUUGUAUUUUUUUAAUUUCGUGUUCUUAUCUUCUGCACUGGAAGAUAAUAAUACUGAUCCUGUCAUAAUAUGGCAGUAGUUGAGACGGCGGGAGAAGAAAGGACGACAACCACAAGGAAAAUACUGGGAUGUUAAUUAAUUUGUUUUAAUUAAGCCAACAAACACGACCAGUGACGAGACAACUGCACAAAAAGGACAUCAAUCACAAUCUACAAAGGGCAGUUUCAUCUGCUGUCAAGAAUACCAACACACAGCAAACAUCAACAAAAACUACAUUGGUUACCCACACAUGACAAGUGCAUUUGAGUGUUAACCAUCAAGAGUAACGCUUAUUAUCCAUUUCAAUUAUAAACAUAUUGAUACAUGAUGGAUGAAGGACAAAACAGUGGACCAAGAAGAGGCAGUGGUUGGUAAGCUGUGGGACUGUAAACACAUUUCUGUAGUAACAAAUAAACAUGCAAAAGUAGAGGAAUUGUUGGUAUGGUAUUUUUUAUGUGAUCCUUGUCAAGGCUAUACAGCAAGGACUGGCAGCAGUCCAGCAGGCUCCAAGGGCUGUCACACAGUAAAAUAUGGUCAUGAGUCCUGUGGGACUAGGAACCAAGUCACUGUGGUCAGCAGCAAUUUAGCAGUUGGUCGGUCUUCAGUUGCAUUGUUAGCAGCCAACACCCAGCAAUGAUUAGCGGACAAACAUAAGACGUUACGUGCUAUAGUUGCAGUGAUGUACAGUGUGUGUGUGUAUCAGUGAGACUAUUACAGUUAUUUAUAGUUACAAGUGUUCCAUAAAUCAAAUUAUCAUUCCAAAAACCAUGUCUAGCCACUAACACAUGAUCAUAUUUUAACAAAUUCUUAAAUUAAAGUUAACUGCUACUUCCUUGACAGGGAGUUAACACAGUGGAACAGCUUACAAGAAGAGACAUACCUAAGGAUGGCCACAUAAUGCUGAAGUAUGUUGUAUGAAUAACAAAACAAUAAAAUAUGGCAAUGGCAACAACCAUGAAACCAUUAUAUACUUAUGAAUGCAGCAAUAAGGCUGAAUGUAAAUACUAAGAAAGUGAACAAGUAAAUACAUAUAUCUCACUAGUACCCUUACAGGAGGAAAAGAGACAUGAGACAAGUAUGGGAGCUACAUAUUAGGAGCUAUACAAUUGUCUACUGAAAAGUAAGAUAAUUAGGUUCUUGCAUUCUUUGGAAUAAAGAGUCUUCACAGCUGUUA